UACGAGGGGGGCAAGCGUUGUUCGGAAUUAUUGGGCGUAAAGGGUGCGUAGGCGGUUUGGUAAGUCUUAUGUGAAAUCUACAGGCUCAACUUGUAGUCUGCAUGAGAAAACUGCCGGGCUUGAGUAUGGGAGAGGUGAGUGGAAUUUCCGGUGUAGCGGUGAAAUGCGUAGAUAUCGGAAGGAACACCUGUGGCGAAAGCGGCUCACUGGACCAUUACUGACGCUGAGGCACGAAAGCUAGGGGAGACAAACAGGAGUUAGAAA
rnacentral:rRNA from 1 species